UACGGGGGGGGCAAGCGUUGUUCGGAAUUACUGGGCGUAAAGGGUUCGUAGGUGGCUCGUUAAGUCAGACGUGAAAUCCCUCGGCUCAACCGAGGAACUGCGUCUGAGACUGAUGAGCUCGAGUGCAGGAGAGGAACGCGGAAUUCCAGGUGUAGCGGUGAAAUGCGUAGAGAUUGGGAAGAACACCGGUGGCGAAAGCGCUCUACUGGACUGCAACUGACACUCAGGGACGAAAGCUAGGGGAGCGAAUGGG
rnacentral:rRNA from 1 species